GAAACCCGGUGAUCUAGCCAUGGGCAGGUUGAAGGUUGGGUAACACUAACUGGAGGACCGAACCGACUAAUGUUGAAAAAUUAGCGGAUGACUUGUGGCUGGGGGUGAAAGGCCAAUCAAACCGGGAGAUAGCUGGUUCUCCCCGAAAGCUAUUUAGGUAGCGCCUCGUGAAUUCAUCUCCGGGGGUAGAGCACUGUUUCGGCAAGGGGGUCAUCCCGACUUACCAACCCGAUGCAAACUGCGAAUACCGGAGAAUGUUAUCACGGGAGACACACGGCGGGUGCUAACGUCCGUCGUGAAGAGGGAAACAACCCAGACCGCCAGCUAAGGUCCCAAAGUCAUGGUUAAGUGGGAAACGAUGUGGGAAGGCCCAGACAGCCAGGAUGUUGGCUUAGAAGCAGCCAUCAUUUAAAGAAAGCGUAAUAGCUCACUGGUCGAGUCGGCCUGCGCGGAAGAUGUAACGGGGCUAAACCAUGCACCGAAGCUGCGGCAGCGACACUAUGUGUUGUUGGGUAGGGGAGCGUUCUGUAAGCCUGUGAAGGUGGCCUGUGAGGGUUGCUGGAGGUAUCAGAAGUGCGAAUGCUGACAUAAGUAACGAUAAAGCGGGUGAAAAGCCCGCUCGCCGGAAGACCAAGGGUUCCUGUCCAACGUUAAUCGGGGCAGGGUGAGUCGACCCCUAAGGCGAGGCCGAAAGGCGUAGUCGAUGGGAAACAGGUUAAUAUUCCUGUACUUGGUGUUACUGCGAAGGGGGGACGGAGAAGGCUAUGUUGGCCGGGCGACGGUUGUCCCGGUUUAAGCGUGUAGGCUGGUUUUCCAGGCAAAUCCGGAAAACCAAGGCUGAGGCGUGAUGACGAGGCACUACGGUGCUGAAGCGACAAAUGCCCUGCUUCCAGGAAAAGCCUCUAAGCAUCAGGUAACAUCAAAUCGUACCCCAAACCGACACAGGUGGUCAGGUAGAGAAUACCAAGGCGCUUGAGAGAACUCGGGUGAAGGAACUAGGCAAAAUGGUGCCGUAACUUCGGGAGAAGGCACGCUGAUAUGUAGGUGAAGCGACUUGCUCGUGGAGCUGAAAUCAGUCGAAGAUACCAGCUGGCUGCAACUGUUUAUUAAAAACACAGCACUGUGCAAACACGAAAGUGGACGUAUACGGUGUGACGCCUGCCCGGUGCCGGAAGGUUAAUUGAUGGGGUUAGCGGUAACGCGAAGCUCUUGAUCGAAGCCCCGGUAAACGGCGGCCGUAACUAUAACGGUCCUAAGGUAGCGAAAUUCCUUGUCGGGUAAGUUCCGACCUGCACGAAUGGCGUAAUGAUGGCCAGGCUGUCUCCACCCGAGACUCAGUGAAAUUGAACUCGCUGUGAAGAUGCAGUGUACCCGCGGCAAGACGGAAAGACCCCGUGAACCUUUACUAUAGCUUGACACUGAACAUUGAGCCUUGAUGUGUAGGAUAGGUGGGAGGCUUUGAAGUGUGGACGCCAGUCUGCAUGGAGCCGACCUUGAAAUACCACCCUUUAAUGU
rnacentral:rRNA from 1 species